rnacentral:lncRNA from 1 species
UAAACAUUCCAUUGGAAAAAACUAAACAAUUUGUUAUAAAACAUCCUUAAAAGCAUCAGAAAGUUAAUACAGCAACAAAGAAUUACAGGACCAAAUUAAGAAUGGUCUGCCAGCAACAACUUCAGUUAAUAUUUCUGUUUAUCUGGGUGCUGUCAUCUAUAUGAUCUCAGUAUUUUAAAAAUCAGCUUCCAGCCCAUAUGGUGGCUCAUGCUUGUAAUACCAGCAGUUGAAGAGGCUGAAAUGAGAGGAUUCCUUGAGCCCAGGAGUUCAAGGAGUUCAAGAGAAACCUGGGCAACAUGGCAAGACCCAGUCUCUAUCAAAAGUUAAAAAAAAAAGGUGGGCAUAGUGAUGUGCACCUGUUGUCCUAGCAAUUUGGGAGGCCAAGGUGGAAGGAUUGCUUGAGCUUGGGAGGUUGAAUCUACAGUGAGCAGUGAUUGCACCACUGCACCCCAGCCUGGGCAACAAAGCAAGACCCUAUCUCAAAAAAUAUAUAUAAUAAAAAUAAAAAUCAGCUCUUAUUGAUUUCUACAUAAAUAUGCACAGGUGAUGUCCAUGUAGACAUAAAUACUAAUAUAUCUGACAAUGGGUCCAUAUGAUCUUCAAAAUGUAAAAUGCCUAUCUGUGUAAUUGACUGCUUAGUCUCAUUAAUGUAUAUAGAUUCAAUUCUACUUUCUUGUUCUAGAUAAAUUAUAUAAUCUAGCUUUUCAUUUCACUUAUUUACUGAUAACAACAGGAAGAAUGACAAGAUAUCUACUCUGGAAAAUUACUCUGGUAGGAGUAAAGAUGAAACGAUAGAAUUGCAUGGAAAACUAGAAAAAAGUAUGGUCUUCUGAUAUUCUAUCACAUCAUAUACAAAAGGCCUCAUAAAACUCAGAUAUUUUAUCUAAAAAUGUUAUUUUCAUCUUAGGGAUGAUCAAAGCAUGAGACUAGAAUUGUAUUACAAUGACUCUCACAAGCACAUGUGCUAAAAAGGAGGGGAAAACAUCAUUACUGAUAUUUUAUACGUAUGUUUUACUUUCCAUCAACAUGAACCUCAACUUGAUAUGAUGCAGAUUGAAGGAAAUCACCCAUAAUUCCAUAUGAAGAAGGCCUGUGAUAUUUUAUGGGAAAAUAGAUAGAGAAAAUGCUAACAGAAACCCUAUUAAGCAUUAAGAUUUAUGGAGCAAAUACAAAUCCAGUGGUGAAAGAUACACACUUGAGUUCUGUUUGUUGUCUUGGAACAAUAUGGUUUAGAGGUGACUGGUGG